AGCCGCGGUAAUUCCAGCUCCAAUAGCGUAUAUUAAAGUUGUUGCAGUUAAAAAGCUCGUAGUUGGAUUUCUGUUAAUAAUUUAUAUAUAAUAUUUAACAUAUUUAUAUAAUAUUAACAUAAUUCAUAUUACUAUUUAUAGUAUAUGAAACUAUACUUUGAGAAAAUUAGAGUGCUUAAAGCAGGCUUUUGCCUUGAAUACUAGAGCAUGGAAUAAUAUUAAAGAUUUUUAUCUUUCUUAUUGGUUCUAAGAUAGAAAUAAUGAUUAAUAGGGACAGUUGGGGGCAUUUGUAUUUAACAGUUAGAGGUGAAAUUCUUAGAUUUGUUAAAGACAAACUAAUGCGAAAGCAUUUGCCAAGGAUGUUUUCAUUAAUCAAGGACGAAAGUUAGGGGAUCGAAGACGAUCAGAUACCGUCGUAGUCUUAACCAUAAACCAUGCCAACUAG
rnacentral:rRNA from 1 species